UACGUAGGGUGCAAGCGUUGUCCGGAAUUAUUGGGCGUAAAGAGCUCGUAGGCGGUUUGUCGCGUCGGCUGUGAAAACCUGGGGCUCAACUCUGGGCGUGCGGUCGAUACGGGCAUCACUUGAGUUCGGCAGGGGAGACUGGAAUUCCUGGUGUAGCGGUGGAAAUGCGCAGAUAUCAGGAGGAACACCGGUGGCGAAGGCGGGUCUCUGGGCCGAUACUGACGCUGAGGAGCGAAAGCGUGGGGAGCGAACAGG
rnacentral:rRNA from 1 species